GAGAACGGCUACCACAUCCAAGGAAGGCAGCAGGCGCGCAAAUUACCCACUCCCGGCACGGGGAGGUAGUGACGAAAAAUAACAAUACGGGACUCUAUCGAGGCCCCGUAAUUGGAAUGAGUACACUCUAAACCUUUUAACGAGGAUCUAUUGGAGGGCAAGUCUGGUGCCAGCAGCCGCGGUAAUUCCAGCUCCAAUAGCGUAUAUUAAAGUUGUUGCGGUUAAAAAGCUCGUAGUUGGAUCUCAGCUGAGUUCCCGUUGAUACAUCGCAAGGUGUUCAUCUUCGGGGCCGGCAGUACGUCGGUCGUCUCGAUUGGCCUUAAAAAGCUGACCGGGUUGUCCGACAGUUUUACUUUGAAAAAAUUAGAGUGCUCAAAGCAGGCUGACGCCUGGAUACUGGUGCAUGGAAUAAUGGAAUAGGACCUCGGUUCUGUUUUGUUGGUUUUUGGAUCCCGAGGUAAUGAUUAAGAGGGACAGACGGGGGCAUUCGUAUUGCGGCGCUAGAGGUGAAAUUCUUGGACCGCUGCAAGACGAACUACUGCGAAAGCAUUUGCCAAGAAUGUUUUCAUUAAUCAAGAACGAAAGUUAGAGGUUCGAAGGCGAUCAGAUACCGCCCUAGUUCUAACCAUAAACGAUGCCAACCAGCAAUCCGCCUGAGUUCCUCAAACGACUCGGCGGGCAGCUUCCGGGAAACCAAAGUGUUUGGGUUCCGGGGGAAGUAUGGUUGCAAAGCUGAAACUUAAAGGAAUUGACGGAAGGGCACCACCAGGAGUGGAGCCUGCGGCUUAAUUUGACUCAACACGGGAAAACUUACCCGGCCCGGACACCGGAAGGAUUGACAGAUUAAUAGCUCUUUCUUGAUUCGGUGGGUGGUGGUGCAUGGCCGUUCUUAGUUGGUGGAGUGAUUUGUCUGGUUAAUUCCGAUAACGAACGAGACUCUAGCCUACUAAAUAGACCCACGAUCCUUGGUAUCGUGAGCGGGUCUUCUUAGAGGGACAGGCGGCUUUUAGCCGCACGAAACAGAGCAAUAACAGGUCUGUGAUGCCCUUAGAUGUCCGGGGCCGCACGCGCGCUACACUGAAGGGAUCAGCGUGUGUAACCCUAGUCCGAAAGGACCGGGUAAUCCAAUGAACCCCCUUCGUGAUAGGGAUAGGGGAUUGUAAUUAUUCCCCUCGAACGAGGAAUUCCCAGUAAGCGCGAGUCAUCAGCUCGCGUUGAUUACGUCCCUGCCCUUUGUACACACCGCCCGUCGCUACUACCGAUUGAAUGAUUUAGUGAGGUCUUCGGACUGGAGCAACGAGCGGCUUCGGCCGUUCUCUGCGCCGGGAAGAUGACCGAACUUGAUCAUUUAGAGGAAGUAAAAGUCGUAACAAGGUUGCC
rnacentral:rRNA from 1 species